rnacentral:lncRNA from 1 species
UUUGCUAUGCUUUGUUGCGGACUUUUCCUGCCUAUGCCAUGCCCGUUAGGUCCAAUUGUGUUGCUAUGGUGGUUCAUGGAUGUUUCUCGCCCCUAGUUGCUCUUGCAUUCCAUUUGGUCGUUGUAUUGCAUAUUUGGUUUUGGAAAUGUGUCACAUCCUAGUGUUGAAUGUUUUGGAUCAAGUUGUGGGCAAUUUGGCUUGUGGAUUCUAGUUUACUUACCUAUGUGUGCUUUGCCAUGCCUUGUCUUUCAUUUCACGAGGACGUGAACAUUUUCAGUGUGGGGGGUGUUAACUCACAAUUAGGGAUGAUGGGAUAUUAACCAAUUAUGCAACCUUGUGCGUUUUUGUUUGCUAUUAUCAGUGUUGCAGGAUGCAGCGGAAGAAGACCCCCGCCAUAG